CAAUAGCGUAUAUUAAAGUUGUUGCAGUUAAAAGCUCGUAGUCGGAUUUCGGCAUCAUGCCGAACUGUCAGCCGAUUGGUUUGUACGGUUUGGCGGGUGCUCUCCUUCCGGAGGCUCGUUUCCCUCUUUCAUUAGAGGGUUCGAUGGUUCCGGGUCUUUUACUUUGAAAAAUUAGAGUUGUUCAAAGCAGGCCUAUGCUCUGAAUAGGUUAGCAUGGAAUAAUAAAAUAGGACUUUGGUUCUAUUUUGUUGGUUUCUAGGACCGAAGUAAUGAUUAAUAGGGACAGUUUGGGGCAGUUCAUAUUCCCAAAUUGGUCAGAGGUGAAAUUCUUG
rnacentral:rRNA from 1 species